UAAACCCUUUAUUCCUUACAACCAAAGCCAAGGAUUCGUCCCAAAGAUGCAGUUUCAAGGAGGAUAUCAACAACAGCAACCACCACCUGGUAUAAAACAUGCAAAGUAUGCAAUAAUGAUGAGAAAUGAUAUAAAACAGUGAUGAAUGAUACGAAACUAAACUCAAAACGAUGAUGAAUGGAUACUGAAAACAUGCAAAUUAUAGAUAUAUCAAUUCCCCCAAACUUAGUUUUUGCUUGCCCUCAAGCAAAUAAGAAGACAUAGUUGAAGGAGAGGUUUGAAGGUGGGGACUCAGAACCAAAGCAUCAGGUAGAGCAAAUAAAAUCAAUGUCCAAGUUGGUAGUUCUAAGAUGCGAUAUGAUAGAAUUUUACUCAAAAACGUUAGUCAUGCCUUGUUAUCAAUCAAUCCGUCUCUUAUACUCGACCUACACAUGCUUUCAAAUCUACCAAUCCCUUUAACAUUCAUUAGUUCUGGAACGUGAAUCAAGCAAUGCAUCAUCAAUGAAAUCAUUUGGCUAAGGUGAAGGUCAAGAGACAGAGAUGGUCCCUUACAGAAUAGGCUUAAGUAACAGGGGAUCUCUCAAGAAUGAUUGAGCUUUAAUAGAAUGCUAAAGGUAAGUCCCAAGUUAUGCAUACAGAGAUAAAUCUCAUCUACCCAGAGUAUAACAAUGAAGCUCUAAUGGUAAUCCCAACUCCAGUCCCAAUACAAGAACUUAACUCUACCCUUUGCACUCAUGAAUCUUUCAAACUCUUUUUCAUAUCAUUCGU
rnacentral:sRNA from 1 species